CGAAUAUUUUUCUUUUGCAAGGAUCAAGUACAUCUAUGUUUCAUUACUCACAUCUCAAAAUAAUGUUCUGUAAUCAGGAUGCAUGAUUGGCAUGGACCAUGGAGUAUGGAUCAUCUUGCCAUGUUGUGUUCUUCUUGUGUUUAAGAUUGUGCUUUUGCAGAUGAAGUUGUUGAUCCUGCUGAGGCGCGCCGCUGUCAUCGGGAUAUUUGUGAGGGGAAGCGCCCUUUUCGAGAGAUUCCAGAGAAGAAGUAUGUUUUGGGCACGCCGCCUCCUGGUCUGAGUGGUGUUUCAGCUGGUGCUCUGCUGCGGGUCUCUGUCCUGUAUCUUCCUCGUGUGGUGCUUCUGUUUCACAUGUCCAUUGUCGGUCUUCCUAAUUCUGUUGUCUUGCCUACAGUUGCUGCGGCCCCUCUCUUUGCUGGUGCAUUGGCUGCUGUGCUAGAUAUUUCGUCUUUGGGCUCUUCUUGCUUGGUGGAUAUUCAUAUGUACGGAGAUGCUGGGUGCCCAUCUAUUUUGCAAAGGACAAUUUCUUCCAGUUCUAAUGUGCGCACGAGUGGGGGGCGUCAGGGUUCGUUGUCAGCUAGCUGUCUGAAUCUUCGUGCUUCGGAUUUGUCUCAUGAUCUGCUGCACGUACGACACGUACGACAAGGGGACAACAGAAUUCUACUGAAUUGUGGCGGCGCCAUCGAGAGAUUCAUGAAUGAAAUGUCCUGUGUUGGGUUCUUCAGAUUAUGCCUGAACCAGCAGGAGCCUCCGAAGCAGCAAGAGAGUAAUGGAUGGGGAAACUAGCAGAUCCGUUUGUGUGGACGACAGCUCGAUGGUGGCAACUCGGCUAGGUUUGCCAUGAGAAGGCCAGACUACGCGAGAGAUUUGGCGUGUGUAGUUUAUGUUGUUGGUAAUUACGGUGGAGUGUGGUUAGAUUAUCAGCUUUUUUAGAUGCAUAGGGCAUCGAAGGAGCGGUGGAUAUGAGCUCCUACGGCAAAACUACUGCGCCUUGAGCAACGUCAGAGGAGCCGGCUCCCGCUAAGAAUACAUUUUAUUUUCUCUAGCCGAUUAAUUCCAAUAAUUAAUGAGGGCUAAUGCACCCCGGGAGCAGCUGCCAAGAUGGAAGUUUGUAGCAAAUAGGACGCCUUCCAUCAAAGGGAAACUACGGCCAACUCCGCUCUGGUUGGCCGGCGAUGCAUGACGAGGCCAAUGGACAGCUCGGUGCUACACAAAUGAAUCAAGGAGAACAUAUUAACAGACCAGCAACGUGCUAGGAGGCCAACAGGAGCAUUACCUGGUGUUGACCGGCGGGCAAAUGACAUAUAUGUUUUUUUCCAACCAAGUUAUGUCUUUGGCGGGGCAUACUUGAUCAUAAAUUUUGUACAAAAGAAGGGGUGCACGGGCAACCUACUAGGAGAUGGGACAAUGGGCCUUGAGGACGUGGCACUGUUCACGAGGGCGACAUUCCGACAACACUCCAGCAUAGACUUGUCGUGAUACCUGGACGUGGGCUGGUAAACGGAGGUAACAGGGAGCCUCAACAUCAGGACAUCAAGAAGGAAGCUGAUGAUGAUGAUGAGUACGGCCAUCUUGGCAUGGAUUGCUGCGGCUGCCAUGCCCAUGUCCAGCAACAUGUUGCCGUGCCAGUGCUGCAACCUUCUACUCCAAACACGGUCGCAAGCAAUGUGAUCAUGAAGUUCUGGGAUACUUAACAUUCCCUGUAUUUUUCUAGCAAUGUCUUAGUUAAGACGUAGAUGCAAGGGCUCAUAUAAAUCUCAAUGAAUUUAUAUUAGUUACCAUGAUAAUUUGAUUGUAUAUAUGAGCAUAUCCGAAUCAUUUUAGGCUUAUAAUGGCAUUUCCUUUAAUGAUUUA